UACAGAGGUCCCAAGCGUUGUUCGGAUUCAUUGGGCGUAAAGGGUGCGUAGGCGGCGCGUUAAGUCGGGUGUGAAAUCUCGGAGCUUAACUCCGAAACUGCAUUCGAUACUGCCGUGCUUGAGGACUGGAGAGGAGACUGGAAUUUACGGUGUAGCGGUGAAAUGCGUAGAUAUCGUAAGGAAGACCAGUGGCGAAGGCGGGUCUCUGGACAGUUCCUGACGCUGAGGCACGAAGGCCAGGGGAGCAAACGGG
rnacentral:rRNA from 1 species